rnacentral:rRNA from 1 species
GACAGAGGUUGCAAACGUUGUUCGGAAUUACUGGGCAUAAAGCGCACGUAGGCGGUUCGUUAAGUCAUGUGUGAAAUCCCUCGGCUCAACCGAGGAAUUGCGCCUGAUACUGGCGGGCUAGAGAUCGAUAGGGGUGAGUGGAACUCCAGGUGGAGCGGUGAAAUGCGUAGAUAUCUGGAGGAACACCGGUGGCGAAAGCGGCUCACUGGAUCGAUACCGACGCUGAGGUGCGAAAGCUAGGGUAGCAAACGGG